rnacentral:piRNA from 1 species
GAACCAAUGGAACAAGACUUAACUAC